rnacentral:rRNA from 1 species
GACGAACGCUGGCGGCGUGCUUAACACAUGCAAGUCGAACGGAAAGGCCCUGCUUUUGUGGGGUGCUCGAGUGGCGAACGGGUGAGUAACACGUGAGUAACCUGCCCUUGACUUUGGGAUAACUUCAGGAAACUGGGGCUAAUACCGGAUAGGAGCUCCUGCUGCGUGGUGGGGGUUGGAAAGUUUCGGCGGUUGGGGUUGGACUCGCGGCUUAUCAGCUUGUUGGUGGGGUAGUGGCUUACCAAGGCUUUGACGGGUAGCCGGCCUGAGAGGGUGACCGGCCACAUUGGGACUGAGGUACGGCCCAGACGCCUACGGGAGGCAGCAGUGGGGAAUAGUGCACAAUGGGCGGAAGCCUGAUGCAGCAACGCCGCGUGCGGGAUGACGGCCUUCGGGUUGGAAACCGCUUUCGCGUGUGACGAAGCGUGAGUGACGGUAAUGGGUAAAGAAGCACCGGCUAACUACGU